rnacentral:lncRNA from 1 species
AUGGAUCGGGAUUCGUUUGCCGGUGACGGUGGUCAAAGAUAGAGAUCUAUGUGAAAAGCACAAACAAAACACAAUUCCGGCCCAUAAAAACAAGGUCAAUUUCAUCUCUUCUCUUUUUCUUUUAAUUAAUAAAUUUAAAACUUUUAUUCGCUGAAUUUUUAUGUUUACAGAUUUUUGUAAAACUUCUUACGGAUUUUAACCUUUUUCAAUUUUCACUUUUUUUUUAUUUUUUAAAAAAAAUUAGCAUUCAGUUUUUUUUUUUUUUAUAAUUUUAAGUAAUAAAAAUUUGGAUGAUAAAUUUACAAGACGUUGUGAAACUAACCGGAUUUUGGAUCCAUCAUUUAUCGUUAGCGAUUCCACAAAUUCAACUUGUUUUCGCAUCGUUAUGUAGAUUUAGCAUUUAAGUUUCUAAAUUUUUUAGAAAAAAGAUUUUCAAUUUUUCAGUGGGUUUUAAAACAAUUUUUAAAAGCUUUUUAAACAAUAGAAAUUUGGAUGAUAAAUUUACAAGACGUUGUGAAACUAACCAGAUUUUGGAUCCAUCAUUUGUCGUUAGCGAUUCCACAAAUUCAACUUGUUUUCGCAUUGUUAUGUAGAUUUAGCAUUCAAGUUUCUAAAAAUUUUAGAAAAGAUUUUCAAUUUUUCAAUGGGUUUUAAAACAAUUUUUAAAGCUUUUUAAAUAAUAGAAAUUUGGAUAAUAAAUUAACAAGACGUUGUGAAACUAACCGGAUUUUGGAUCCAGCAUUUGUCGUUAGCAAUUCCACAAAUUCAACUUGUUUUCGCAUCGUUAUGUAGAUUUAGCAUUCAAGUUUCUAAAUUUUUUUGAAAAGAUUUUCAAUUUUUCAGUGGGUUUUAAAACAAUUUUUUAAAGCUUUUUAAAUAAUAGAAAUUUGGAUAAUAAAUUUACAAGAUAUGAAAUUAACCAGAUUUUGGAUCCUGCAUUUAUCGUUAGAGAUUCCACAAAUUCAACUUAUUUUCGCAUUGUUAUGUAGAUUUAUCAUUCAAGUUUCUAAAUUUAAAAGUUCUUUACAAUUUUCAUUCAAUACUUUUUAAAGCUUUUUAUGAGUUACUGGACAACAUUACAAGUACAAGCGCAAAUAAUAACUUGAACAAAACCAAUUCACAUCUUUUUAAAUUAAUCAUAGUCGAUGUAGGAAAUCCCAACACGGUUUAUAGCACAAUAAUUGUCGAUUUGUCAGAUCAAAUGACAUGUUAACUUAUAUUAUGCAAACAUAAAUAAUAUUCUUUCCUUAUGAAUUCAGUUUGAUAAAAAAUAAUUUAAAUUACUUAAAAAUAUACCAAAAUUAAAUAUACCACAAAUGAUAUAACAAAAUAUACCACAACAAAAUAUACAACAAAAAUUUUGGUAGAUAUUUUUGUAAUAUAACUAAAUAUACCACAAAAUAGUCCAUAUAUUUUAUUUUGUCCUAUAUUUAUUUAUAAAAUUUUGGUAAUAUAAAAAAUACACAUUUUUUUAAAAAAUUAUUUUUUGUGGUAUUCUACGUCGAACAACUAAGAAAGAAAAAAUAUUAUUUUGUGGUAAAAAAUGAUUGUCAAAAAGAAAAUGUAUAUUUUGCUAUAUUACCAAAAUUUUAUUAACAAAAUAUAACUUUUUCUUUUGGAAUUUUUUUUUGUGGUAUUCAACAAUGAAUAACCGAGAAGAAAAAUAUUACUUUGAAGGUAAAAAAUGAUUGCCAAAAGGAAAAUGUAUAUUUUGUUAUAUUACCAAAAUUUUAUUAACAAAAUAUUUCUUAUGCUAUAUUUUCUUAUAAAAUUUUGGUCAUAUAACAAAAUAUACUUUGUGGUAUAUUAUACCAAAAUUUUAUAAAUAAAUAUAGCACAAAAUAAAAUUUAUGGACUAUUUUGUGGUAUAUUACAAAAAUAUAUACCAAAAUUUUGUUGUAUAAUUUUUUUGUGGUUUAUUUUGUUAUAUUAUUUUUUGAUAUAUUUUAAGUAAAAUUAUUACAUAAUUUUUUAAUAAUUAUUUUUUUUAUCAAAAACAGACAAAUAAAUAAAAUGCAAAAAAAAAAAAUUGAAAUUUGUUUUGGUCAACAUCGGUCAACGCCGGUCAAUGCUGGUCAAUGCCGGAUUCCGGCAACUGAAUCACUGGAAUUAGAUGGUUAUGGUGUUUGCAACAUGACUUAUGUUAGUUCGGGGAUGUCUGUAUGUAAUGUCAAUACUUUGUGUAGCUAACGAAACAUUUUUAAAGUCUGCAUGUGUGACUAUGUGAUGACGUAUCUUUCGCGUAGCUGGCAAACAUUUUUUCUAGAGUCAUACACCGACUUCAAAAUCAUGUUCGUUUGUAUAUGAAUUGGCCAAAAGUUUUCGUUUGGUGUAUGAAUCUCACAAGUCUGUAAUUCAUGUACGUAUUGUAACAAAAGGUUAUGAUUCGUUAUGAAUUGGCCAUUUUCCCAUGAAAUGACUACAUUCAUGCAUAUAUUUGAAGUGUCUUUCCAUUAUUCACAUUUCUCACAACAAUUGAUGUCAAGAUUCGUGAUCUCAUUUGCAAAUGGAUGAAUAUGAAACAAUUAUCAAAACUCUCUUGGUGGAGAAGGGGAUUGUGUGACUUAUGAGCAGUUCGUUACUGAAAUGAUCCAACACCGUCUAGUCUAGGAAGUGUGAUCCCUCUGUUUUGUAACACGGUUCUCCAAGUGUACAAUCAGAUGCCAAACCGUGUUGUGUCAGAUAAUAUUAGGAAUGUGGCCUAACUUAACCCAAAAGCUAGCUCAAGAGUUAAGGAUUGCCACAUCCUUUAUAUAUUACCCAAAGAUCUUAAUCCCAAGCAAUGUGUGACAUUCUAAUAGGCCUCCUCGAGAUGUGGGUGGGAAACGGUCCAACGGGAAACAGCCCAAGCCCAACAUCUCGGAAAUACAAUAAGACAUGCCACUUAUAUGGGCCACAUAGGUGGGAAACCAUUUGUGUGGAAAUUUGCUUGUUGGGCCAACCUUGGGCUCUGAUACCAUAUUAGGAAUGUGGCCUAACUUAACCCAAAAGCUAGCUCAAGAGUUAAGGAUUGCCACAUCCUUUAUAUAUUACCCAAAGAUCUUAAUCCCAAGCAAUGUGGGACAUUCUAAUAGAUAAGCUACUAACUUCUUUUGUAUUCGGAUUAUGACUCGAUCUUCUGCUAGAUCUACAUUUUCGUGACACACUGAAAAUGAUAGUGCCAAGAACCUGAAACCCAUGCGAUGAACGAUCAAAUCAAUCCCGAGUGUAUCUCUCAGCAUCAAAUGACUGUCUCUGUGCAUUCCAAUUCAAGUCUCUAGAGUCUGGUGCUGCGGUGUUCAUUGGUGCAAAGGCUGCAACAUAAGAGAGUUUACAAACACAACUGAGAAACCGGGAAGCAAAUAAACUUAGUUUCACUACAAGAAAUAUGUUCAUCGUUAGCGCAAAAAAUCUGCUAUCAUACAUAUAACAUAACGAAUUCACAAAUGCUAUGAUAUCGGCAGCUAUGGUAGAUGUCACCCAUAUAAUAACAUUUUUUGGUGUGCUAUUAUAUGUUUUUCUAUAAUAGCGUUAACUGAAUGCUACAAUUAUAUAUCUUAUAGCAUUGGAUUAACACUGUAAUCUACUCUUUCAUAACUCUUUCAAAUUAUAGCUCAUUGUUUAGGCUAUGAUCUAUUGAUUUGUAACAAUUUUGUCAAUGCAAUAAUAUUUACUAUUACAAUCCAAUUUGUAUAUAAUUUUCAAAAUAUCCAAUUUUCAUAGAAUUAUUUUAUUUCAUAAAUCAUCCACAACAUACAUUACAAGUUUCAAACUAAGUCAUACAAAACCAGAAUCAUUAUCUAACAAGGACGGUAGAAUGAGCUCACAUUUUCCUUCUUUUUCUUUUUCUUUUCCUUGCUCACAUCUUCCUUUUGACAUCCAUUUGGUUCUUCUUUUUCUCUUACUCUUGUCUAGUCUUUUUAUUCUCUCCUUCAACGACCUCAAAAUUCUCAAUGUUGAAUUCCUGUAAAUUUUUAAGAUCACAACCAUUUUCCCAUUGUAAAACAAAAAGCAGAACCUAAUCCAGAAAAAAAACUAACAAUUCUAGAGUUUUGGAAACUGAAUAACAUAUAGACAAAGAACACAUACUUGAAUCUGAGCAAAGAGGAUGAGAAGUUGUGACGGACAAGAAAGAGUCCAUGGAAGUGGAUACCUCUGAGUUGGAGAAGAAGACUGAGAUUGUUGGAGGAGUUGAAGAUAAGCUUGGAAAUUAUAUGAAAGGAGAAGCAUCUAACACUAAACCAAGAUAGUUUCAGUCCCAUAACACUAGCACUAUCAUAUCAGGUCAAACGUAUAUGUGUUACCCCCUUAACAAAAGAACUAUACAUCACCAAGAUCAUAACAACAAGAGUAGAAAACAACUAUCAUAGUACGACCUAGCAUCAGACUAAAUCAGUUUUGCAAAACUAAGACCAUAGCUUAGAGAAGAAGGAAAUAUGAAUUACCUUGCGCUGCUCUCGUAUGAGAUAAGCAUACCUUGCAGCAUUAACCUGUUUUCCAUCUUUGCAAAUGGGAUUCGAUUGAUCUAUACUUACCAGAGAAAAAAUACAAUGUGACACACAUUCUUAUGAGAAGAACCAUGCUUCCUUUUGUCUCGUCUUUCAUUCCCACAGGCAACGUUAACACCCAUGUUGUUUAAAAACAGAACAAAGAUGAAAUGGAUUCUUGAAUUAUUAUUUAAGUAAAAAUAAACGUUGAUGAUAAGAAGGGAGAUUUUACUUAGGCCAAGAAACAAACCAUUCCUGUAGAAAAACGAAUAUCUUUUCAAUGCAUCAUUUGGGAGUUUGACGCCAAGCUCUUCCUGGAGCUCCCGCCUACACAAAUUAUCAUGAAACCUUAAGUAAACAGAUAGAAGAACUAACAAAAGUAGAAUGGGAUUUACUUACUGUGCGGAUAAAAGCGAUGGAUCACCAUCUGAUAUAUGGCCAGCACUAGAGAUGUCCCAUUGUCCAGGCCAUGAAUCUUUAUCAUCAGAUCAGAGUUGGAGAAGUAGUUGUUGAGUAGUCUCCACAAAAAUCCAAACAUGAACAUCACGAUGGUAAUCUCAAGUCUUCUAUGUUACUUGAUUUAUUUCUUGAGUUCUACUUUCACAAUCCACUACUCUAGUCCUAUGAAUCCUAGUUUCAGAGAAUAUAAAAGACCAUCACGAAGAUCUGCUUACCCGCCUCUCAGCUUCUCCUUCUUCUUCGGCAUCUUCCGCAUAUGACCGUCGCAACUCCAUUUGUUCUGUCAAAUCGAAACUCCUUUAAUUCAAUUCAUAGCAGAUCUGAUCAAGAGGAAGACAAAUAAAAAAAACAAACCCAACAUCUAAUUCAAUUCAAAAAAAAAAACGUAAAUGAGAAGCAAAGAGAAAAGUAAUGACCAAAUCACAAAAACCUCUUUACAAUCUCUAAAACUUUGUCACCCAAUCAUCUUCUCCGUUCUUAAUUGUCUCAUCUUCACCAUUACUAGAUCUAUCAGAAUCUGGGUUUCUCGCCUUCAUUCUCACGAGGGAGAAAAUCACAGCCGACGAGUGCUACGAGAACGCUGGAUUUGCCGCUGCUUUGGCUUCCGACG